GACGAACGCUGGCGGCGUGCUUAACACAUGCAAGUCGAACGAUGAACCCGGAGCUUGCUCCGGUGGAUUAGUGGCGAACGGGUGAGUAACACGUGAGUAACCUGCCCUUGACUCUGGGAUAACUGCGGGAAACUGUAGCUAAUACCGGAUACGACCCUCGGCGGCAUCGCCAGGGGGUGGAAAGAAUUUCGGUCAAGGAUGGACUCGCGGCCUAUCAGGUAGUUGGUGAGGUAACGGCUCACCAAGCCUACGACGGUUAACUGGUCUGAGAGGAUGAUCAGUCACACUGGAACUGAGACACGGUCCAGACUCCUACGGGAGGCAGCAGUGAGGAAUAUUGCGCAAUGGGCGAAAGCCUGACGCAGCGACGCCGCGUGGAGGACGAAGGCCUUCGGGUUGUAAACUCCUGUCAGUUGGGAAGAGAAUGGACGGUACCAACUGAGGUAGCUUCGGCUAACUACGUGCCAGCCGCCGCCGUAA
rnacentral:rRNA from 1 species